AGUACCACGUCCCUUUGUGCCUGCACUUCAUGCCUCAUAAUAAACAUUCCAUUACUGAUUUUAAAAAGCUAUAUAUAGAAAGAAGACAAAAAAAAAUGGCCAUGUUCUGUGCUAGAACAAAUUCAGAAGAGUUUUUUUGUUUGUUUGAUUGUUUUUGUUUUUUGACAGAGUCUCAUUCUGUGGCCCAGGCUGGAGUGCAGUGGCACGAUCUCAGCUCACU
rnacentral:lncRNA from 1 species